UCAAGCGAUAGGUAAGGGCAUUUGGUGAAUGCCUUGGCACUCAGAGGCGAAGAAGGACGUAAUACACUGCGAAAAGUCACGGGGAGUUGUGAAUAAGCAUUGAUCCGUGAAUGUCCGAAUGGGGAAACCCACAGAGCAAUCUGUAUCGUAACAUGAAUACAUAGUGUUGCGAAGCGAACGCAGGGAACUGAAACAUCUAAGUACCUGUAGGAAAGGAAAUCAACCGAGACUCCGAAAGUAGUGGCGAGCGAAAUCGGACCAGCCGAUGGAUUUGAUUGUAAGAACUAGAACAGCGUGGGAAAGCUGACCGAAGAUGGUGAUAGUCCAGUAUAGGUAGAAAGCAAUUAAGUUCUUGAGUAGGGCGGAGCACGAGAAAUUCUGUCUGAAAAUGGGGAGACCACUCUCCAAGGCUAAGUACUACUGAGUGACCGAUAGUGAACAAGUACCGUGAGGGAAAGGUGAAAAGCACCCCUAUAAGGGGAGUGAAAAAGAACCUGAAACCGGAUGCCUACAAGCAGUCGGAGGAGCAUUAGGCUCUGACGGCGUACCUUUUGUAUAAUGGGUCAGCGACUUAAUUUAUGUAGCAAGCUUAAGCCGAUAGGUGUAGGCGCAGCGAAAGCGAGUGUUAAUAGCGCGUUAAGUUACAUGGAUUAGACCCGAAACCGAGUGAUCUAGCCAUGAUCAGGUUGAAGGUUGGGUAACACCAACUGGAGGACCGAACCCACUCCCGUUGAAAAGGUAGGGGAUGAAUUGUGGCUAGGGGUGAAAGGCCAAUCAAACUCGGAAAUAGCUGGUUCUCCGCGAAAACUAUUUAGGUAGUGCGGCAAGCGGACACGUUGAGGGGUAGAGCACUGAAAGAGCUAAGGGGGAGCGAUCCUUACUAAACUUUAUCAAACUCCGAAUACUCAACAGUGAUACUUGCCAGACAGACUGUAGGUGCUAAGGUCUACGGUCGAGAGGGAAAGAGCCCAGACCGCCAAUUAAGGUCCCAAAAUUAUGGCUAAGUGGUAAAGGAAGUGAAUUGUCCAAAACAGUCAGGAGGUUGGCUUAGAAGCAGCCAUCCUUUAAAGAAAGCGUAAUAGCUCACUGAUCUAAACAAGACGAUUUGCGCCGAAGAUGUAACGGGGCUAAAGCCAUAUACCGAAGUUGCGGAAUUGCACGUAAGUGUAAUUGGUAGCGGAGCGUUCUGUAAGCCUGCGAAGGUGUUCCGUAAGGAAUGCUGGAGGUAUCAGAAGUGAGAAUGCUGACAUGAGUAGCGAAAAGAAGUGUGAGAGACACUUCCGCUGAAAGUCCAAGGUUUCCUGCGUAAAGCUAAUCUGCGCAGGGUUAGUCGGCCCCUAAGGCGAGGCAGAGAUGCGUAGUCGAUGGGAAUCAGGUUAAUAUUCCUGAACCAACUAGGAAGUGACGGAUUCAGUAAAUUGUAUGUCCUUAUUGGAUUGGAUGUGCAGUGAAUGAGUCCCGGGAAAUAGCCCUAGUAUAGACCGUACCCGAAACCGACACAGGUGGACAGGUAGAGAAUACCAAAGCGCUUGAGAGAACUAUGUUGAAGGAACUAGGCAAAAUACUUGCGUAACUUCGGGAUAAGCAAGCCCCAUUUCUGGGCAACCAGAGGUGGGGGGCACAUACUAGGGGGUAGCGACUGUUUACUAAAAACACAGGGCUCUGCUAAAUUGAAAGAUGAAGUAUAGGGUCUGACGCCUGCCCGGUGCUGGAAGGUUAAGGAGAGAUGUGCAAGCAUUGAACUGAAGCCCCAGUAAACGGCGGCCGUAACUAUAACGGUCCUAAGGUAGCGAAAUUCCUUGUCGGGUAAGUUCCGACCU
rnacentral:rRNA from 1 species